rnacentral:lncRNA from 1 species
GGGUGAAAGCCGGUGUCCAGGCUAACCGGGAUACAGGAGAAGGAGGGUAGCGAAGAUGCUCAGUGCGUGGACAGUGCGUAACUUUGUCUCCAUCACAGUCACUUAUCUGGAAACCUGCGGCUGGAUUAAUCGCUAUAUUCCCAAGAUGAGCGGUGCUGCAAUCCGCAGUGAACACGGGUGGGAACACGGAAGCUUCCCCUAGGUUCUUGCGGGGGCCAGCAGCUGGCCAGCUCCCUGCAGUGGAUGCUGCACAGUAGCUAGCACCUGUUUGGGCUCGGGUUGGGGGUCUACGAGCACUUAGGCGCACAGAAGAUGUGGAAGAGAGGAAGGAAACAGGCCUGUGGGGACUCCGGCCUGAGAGAGGUUGAUUAGCUCCCAGUAAAGGCACAGAACUGCCUAUAUAAAGAGCUUUUUAACCUGAAAAUGAUGCUGCUGAGUCUUCAGACCGUGGUCUAUUCAGAUGCAGAAAAAUGUUCCCUCCCAUCUUGAUCUCCCAGCCUCACCCCUACCACACCCACAGCUACUCCUUAGGCCCCUCCCCUGGAAUUUUCUCCUUCGGGAUCCUGGUCCUACAAGGGUUAGUAAUAUUUACUUAGGAACUGUGGGCGUGGAAAUAAAUCCUAGUUGUUCAGCCCCUUGCCCUACCUGUUCCAGUUAAAGACGGUGGGUUGUACCCAGGCAGUGGUGGCGCACGCCUUUAGUCCCAGCACUUGGGAGGCAGAGGCAGGCGGAUUUCUGAGUUUGAGGCCAGCCUGGUCUACAGAGUGAGUUCCAGGACAGCCAGGGCUGUACAGAGAAACCCUGUCUCAAAAAACCUAAAAUAUAAAAUAAAAUAAAAUAAGAUGGUGGAGUGUGUGGUGCCAAAGCUCUAGGGAGAAUACUUGUCUACAAAAACUUUCUCUGCUGAGGUCAAAGCAUCAGCUUCGAGGGAACUACCACUUGGUGUGUGAGGUCUCUGCGCCUGGGCAACGGUGUCUCUGUAGGUGUGAAAGCUGGGCAUCAGCUUGUGACAGCUUUAGGCCACAGAAGCCGAAACUGUGCGCCUCCAUUUUGUCAGCAUAUUAAACAUCCAAGAGUGACCACCCAUUGGUCCAUCACAUUAUUAGAUUGUUAGAUUAGGUGGUACCCCAGGAUGCUUCUGCAACAGCCUCUGUAAGCUCCUCUUAAAAGUCUCCUGGUUCCUCCUCUCCAGCAGCGAAAGCAAACAUGUGAAUCUCUGCAAAGCAAGCCGAGCUAAGGUUCCCAGGACAGUCAUCCUCAUGCCCUCUGGAGGCCUUCCGGCUUCAGCUCUCACCUGAGUCCUGUCACCUCUGAUAUGUGGACAAUGCUGAGCUGGACAGCCCCUGGUCAACCAGGCAGAACAGUCUAUGCAAAUGCCGGAGGGCAACCCUGGGAACAGUGCACCCAUUGUCCGGGGCCUUUCAAAGCUGGGAGCAGCUGCUCAGACUGGCCGCCCUGGACCCUUGGCUGCCAGAGUAAUGUCAUCAUUGCAAGAUGUAGACUCUGAAAAUUAUACGACCCGAAUUC